rnacentral:tRNA from 3 species
GGGAUUGUAGUAUAGUGGUCAGUACUUCUCGUUGUGGUUUUUCACAGCGAUCCGAGAGGACCCAGGUUCGAUUCCUGGCAAUCCCA